rnacentral:lncRNA from 1 species
AUGGUGCGUGAUUGCCUUCAACCUGGCAUCACUUUGGAGAGCUGCUUGGGCAUGGUCCCUCUCAUCCAGGCAGAUGCUUCUAGAUGCUUCAGGAAAAGUGCUGUGUCAGCUUGCCCUGCUAUUCCCAAUGCACAGAAAAUUUGGGGGAUGACCAGAAAAUGCAGCCCAGCUCUACAGAAGCCUCCCAGUAGGCCUCGAGGUGUCUGCACUAAUGAUCUGCAAGCUGUCCAUGAGGGGUACAUCCAGGUGUCCAGAAGCCAAUUCUGCAAUCUGUCCAUCAGGGGUUCCAUCCAGGUGUCCAGAACAAAGGCCUCCAGGUGUCUGGAAAAUAAGAUCCACAGGGUGUCCAUGAGAAGUCCAUCCAGGUGUCCAGAAGAAACAAUCUUCUCAAAGACCAGUGGAUUUCCAUGUCCCUGGAUUCCACCCCACUGCUACCUACUGCAUCAGACUUCGAGUCAGUGCAACAAAACAGACAUUUCCCAUCUGACAAUGGAGGCUUUUCCUCUUGGCUUCAAAACCCACUCACCUCAAUUAGCAAGACCUGAAGACAUUUUGAUAAGCUUAAGCCAGGACAUGUUCUGUAAAGAAAACAGCCCUGCUGAAAGGGUUGCUGCUCUGGGGGGCCCUUUUCUGCUGCUUUUGGAGUGUAACAACCACUUACAUUAA